UGUCAUUUCUUUGGUCUUGCUGUGGACUCACCACGCAAGUGCCUUCUGCUAUCCGGAGAGCAGAAUAAACUCUUUCUUUGAACCAACUCGGUGUCAUUUUGACUUCCUUCCUCCUGUCACGGAGCAACGCAGACCCAAUCGGUGAACUCCAAUAAGGCUACAGUAGGACCCACUAUUGCUCUCAUCUGCUCAACCCGCCAGAGCCUAUCUUCACAUGCAGGGAAGUCCCUAACUCACCAAAGGUUUGAGACCGAUUGGCUACCCUCCCCUGGUUCAGCUGAACAAUGAAAGCCUGAUACUCUGAACUGUCAAGCUGUGCGUGCCUGUAAGCUCCCAACUCUGAUCUGUGAAGAAGGAGGGGUAGGGAAACACUACCCACUGCCUUGAGGGACGUCUUCAGGAGAAGAAAAGGCUGAAUAGUAAACCCUACACAAAUCCAGAGUGGAGUCCUUAAGAUGGUUGGAUGGCACCUUGUACGCCUCCUUCCGACAACUCCUGUAGCCAAACAUAUUGCUCUGCUUUCCUUUGGACCACAUCAGUGAGGCCAAAAGGAGAGUUCUUGUCAUCUGGGCAGCCCAGGACCUCUACCUCCACCCACCCCCCAGAGGUGCUCCGUCUCUUGAGACAGAUGGAUGCCAAGAAAAAGGGGAACCUUGUUUACUUACAUUGCAGCACGACAGAGGCAAGCAUGUUAAUGAUGAACAAUGAAUAGUCUACCACUAGUUCUUUGGAAAAUAGUAGACUGGCUUGCUGGUUUCCCUCCAUCUUGGUAUAGAGUCUCAGUAAGUAAAUGCUCUUAGCUGGCCACUUGCCUUGAUUGCUGGCCAGUAGUUCCUGCUGACAGUUAUGCCACUGUGCAAAGAUUGGGCCCAAAAUAAGCAACUGUAGCCUAUUCUAAAAUUCAAUCCUCCCUUCUGUUUGCACUGGAUUUUUGUGGGUAUUUGCUGACAGAUGUUCCAGCUGAUUUAUGGUAUUAUUAUACUAGUGAUAUAACACAGUGGGGUGCACUGUGGUUGUCUGCGUGAUUGAUGCAGCAGAUAAACAUAAAGUGUUUGAUUACAGAAAGUAUUUUGAUUUCAGAGAAAUUUGAGAAGCAAGAAAUUACUUAGAAAAAACUGAAAGACUAUACCUAACUAAAAGCACAACAAUGUAUUGUUUCAAUGCAUUUCUUCCACUAAAUUGGUGUUGAAUUGGCAAUAGCUUUUCUGCCUAUUUGAAGGGGUGUGUGUAUUUAUACAUGUGUGUGUGUGUGUGUUUUGGCAUCCAUCUGUCUCAAGAGACAAUGGAGUGCACCUCUGGGGGUAAAGCCAAACUGCUGUGUUAGCAGCCCCAGAGUGACCUUCCAUGGUGUGCAAGUGUGGGCCGUGUGUAUGGGGGUCCUGGGCUGCCCAGAUGAUAAGUCCCCUCUCGGCCUUGCUGAUGUGGUCCAAAGAAAAUCAAAGAAAUCAGAGAAAUACCUUGUGCACCAGCUGGGCGGCAGGUGUUGCCAGAAGGGGGCAUACCUGGCGCCAUCUAACCCUCUAAGGGACUCCACUCUCGAUUUACGUAGGGUUUAUUUCUUAGCCAUUUAUUCUCCCAACGAUAUUCCACAAGGUAGCAGAGGCUUAGGAUCAGAAUUUUCCUUCUCCUGGAUUGGCCACCUUCCCAAGUUGAUGAGCCCAUCUGCCCCUCACUUCCCUCUACAGCACAUGCAGAAACCACCUUCUUAACUGUGGGAACCACUGUUGGUCUCAUAUGCUCAAUCCACCAAAAUAUGCCUUCACGUAUAUUUAUAUGGAUAUGUGGCAGACCGUAUUAGAUAAGUAUGUAUUUUACAAAGGAAGAGAGAAACUAUUUAGAAUCUACAUGAUCAGUGAAAAAUGUCUCAAGGGGGUUUAAGAUGUCCGUGAAAUAUUGAUAAUAUGAGAAGCGUAGAACAGGUUUAAAAGCUUUGAAAGCAACCUUUGCAUUGUCCUUGCAUUAAGAAACCUGGAUUUGUGUCCCCCAGGGCACCCAUGAGAGCAUCGACUAAAAAAGGGAAUCACAACAGUUCUUACUGCCCAUCAACAGAAGCAUAAAAGUUUUUAUUGUUAUGAAAGCUGGAGACCCUUCUUUUAAUCUCUGUGGGAUGGUUUUCAGAAAGUCAGAGACCACUUUGACCACUUUGUUUGUGUAUGCCAAUCAAAUUAUGAAGGCUUAGAAGAAUAACAGUAACAAAACAAAACAAAACAAAACAAAGGAAGGCUAGAUUUGUCUGCUUUGGGGGACCUUUCCUCCAGAUUUAGAGAAAAGGGGUGAACUGCCAGGCAUGGAAAGAAGAUGAGUGACGCUGCAAUUUAGUUAUUAAUUCACAACAAACAAUUUAAAGAAAAGUUAAUAUACUGCAUGCUCUUAUAAGGAAUGCUUUUUUAUCUGAAUAAGCAUGUGUGAGCCAGACAUUAGUAACCACAUAUAACAGGAGUAUACAAAAUAUUUUAAUAAUUAAAUAAUCCUUGGGGCUUCUUGAAAGGUUUUCUGAAACUUUAACUUCCCUGAAACUCAGCUGUCAUCAGUCUCCUCUUAUGAUGUAUUUGAUGUCUUCUGGGGUGUUUUCUAAUAAAGAGACCACAAAAGUGAGUCUCAUGGUGAAUGUUCAAGCUAUAACACUUCCCCAAAUUCUCUGGAAUGCACAGAGAUUUCAGGCCAUUGCUCCAGCAGGGGAUAGGGCAUAGAAGGAAGACACUUCAUCCAUGCCUUAAGAACCAAGGGCCUGUGCUUUGGUCUCCAUAAAGUGUGUGUGUGUGUGUGUGUGUGUGUGUGUGAGAGAGAGAGAGAGAGAGAGAGAGAGAGAGAAUUUGAUUGGCAUACACACACACACACACACACACACACACACACUGGCCCCAGGGACAGGGAACACUGUAUGAAGGGCAUUUUGUGCAGAAAUACAAAUCAGACAGGCAGAAACAUGGCAUAAAACAGUUGCCUAAGGAAGCUAAAAGUGCUGAGAGCUGUAAGGAGACCCUUAUCCUCACAGACCUAUAAUUCUCAGUUUUCUGGAAAGAGGGAUUCAGGAGGGGUAAGAGGAGUUACGCCUGUGAAUUUCCUUAAAAAUAACUCAAAAACUUCAUUUUUUUUGAGAUUUUGGCUUUUAAUGAAAGGGCUGGUGCCAUGCUGUUAUUAUUGUAAUUAUUUGUAUGACUUUAAAUAUACAGUAUUUCAUACAGGUAUACAGUUUUAAUUGUUUUCUAUGAUUGUUUUUUUUGAUAUUUUUAGCAGUUCUUAUUUUUAACUGUAACCCACAUUCAGUCUCAUCAGGGAAAAGGGUGGGGUUAAUAAUAAUAAUAAUAAUAGUCGUCUCCUAACAACUCUCAGCACCCUUAACAAACUAAAGUUCCCAGGGGUCUUUGAGGAAAGCCAUGACUGUUUAAAAUGGUAUGUAUAGUACAGGUUGUGCAUAUGAUGAUAACUUUUAAACUUGAGUUGCCUUGGUUACACUACCUGAUUUUGGCUGGUGCGUGAGCUUUGGUUGCUGGUGUUGGAAUUUUGCCUCCUCCAGACUGUGUUAUCUCCGGCUCCUACAGAUGAAGAGCCAGUACUCCUUUGGACCUGGAGGACUGUUGAGGGUUGACCCUGGACAAACCGUGACUGGUGCCUACUGUGGAAGCACAACGUACAUCCUGCACCAAUCUGUGUCUUUUUCCCACCAGCACCAGUAGCAGCUAAGAACAUGGAGUUCUUUCACACCUGUACCUUCUUAUAGUGGCCACAUAUCUUUUGUUUUUAUAGGUCCCUGGACAAACCUAGACAGCUUUAGAGAGAAAUCUAUUAUUGCUUUAAGGUUUACAAACUUGUUAUGCAUCAUUCUUCUUCAAUUCAUUUAACACUUGCCGACAAUUUUUUAUUAUUUUAUUUUCUGCUAGAGUUAUUUUUAAUUCAUUUCUGCUUGUGGGGAAUACGUUGAUGCUAUAUGUAUGGUUGCAAGAUUAAUUUCAUUUUAACUUCCUCAUUCUGAUUGUUAGCAAUUCAUUAUGGCAAAUUCUACUUAGAAUUGGGAAGGUCCUAUAAGUGGUUUCAGUCGGAAUAUUUUGUUUUCCGGUUGGAAGAUGUCAAGUUUAGAGAUAAUUUUAUGCAAAGGUUAGAACAUUCUGUUCUUGAAUACAUAAAGCAGGGCUG
rnacentral:lncRNA from 1 species